rnacentral:misc_RNA from 1 species
AUGCCGUUUUCUUUGCAGGUGCUCUCGCUGGGUGCCGAUGUCCUCCCAGAAUACAAACUCCAAUCUCCGCGAAUACACAAGUGGACAAUCCUUCACUACUCCCCUUUUAAGGCGGUGUGGGAUUGGAUCAUCCUUCUGCUCGUCAUCUAUACAGCCAUCUUCACUCCCUACGUGGCAGCCUUCCUCCUCAAUGAACAGGAGGCAGCGAGAAAGAGUCAUCAAAACCAAUAUGACAGCCCCAUCGUUAUCAUUGAUCUCAUAGUUGAUAUAAUGUUCAUGGUCGACAUCGUCAUCAACUUCCGCACCACCUACGUCAACCAUAACGACGAGGUGGUGUCGCAUCCCGGCAAGAUAGCUCUCCACUACCUCCGAGGGUGGUUCCUCAUUGACGUCGUCGCAGCCAUUCCCUUCGACCUUCUCCUCGUCACAGAUUCGGAGCCUCACACUGCUACUGCUCCAGCAGAAAGAGAUUUAGAGCAGGAGGCAGAUGAUGAAAAGACGACGACCCUCAUCGGCCUCCUGAAGACUGCCAGACUCCUGCGGCUGGUCAGGGUUGCCAGGAAGAUAGACAGGUAUUCAGAGUAUGGCGCAGCCGUCCUUCUUCUGCUCAUGGCCACCUUCGCCCUCAUCGCCCAUUGGCUUGCCUGUAUUUGGUAUGCCAUCGGAAAUGCGGAGCGGCCGGGUCUUCCCCACAAGAUAGGGUGGCUGGAUCACCUAGCCAACGCCACACGGCAGUACUACUACAGCAACAGUACGGGAGGACCUACGCUUAGGGCGAAGUACGUGACAGCAUUGUACUUCACCUUCAGUAGCCUCACGUCGGUGGGCUUCGGCAACGUGGCGCCUAACACAGAUAUCGAGAAGAUAUUCACCAUAUUGGUUAUGCUCAUCGGCUCACUCAUGUAUGCCAGUAUCUUCGGUAACGUCUCGGCCAUCAUCCAGCGACUAUAUGCAGGGACGGCACGGUACCACACACAGUUCAUGAGAGUCAAAGAGUUCAUUCGAUUUCACCAGAUACCUAACCCUCUAAGACAGCGGCUAGAGGAGUACUUCCAGCACGCCUGGACCUACACAAACGGCAUCGACAUGAAUAUGGUGUUGAAGGGCUUCCCUGACUGCCUGCAGGCGGACAUCUGUUUGCAUCUCAACCGACAGCUUGUCGAUUCCUGUCCGGCUUUCGAAGGUGCCAGUCCGGGAUGCUUACGAGCACUAAGUAUGAAGUUCAAAACAACACACGCUCCGCCCGGAGACACACUGGUGCAUAGGGGUGAUGUUCUCACUUCCAUGUACUUUAUCUCCAGAGGGUCUCUUGAGAUCCUGAAAGAUGAUGUUGUGAUGGCAAUUCUAGGUAAAGAUGACAUAUUUGGGGAAAACCCGUGCAUCUACCCAACCAUAGGAAAGUCAUCAUGUAACGUGCGAGCUCUCACGUACUGUGACCUGCACCGAAUAAUGAGGGAUGAUAUCCUUGAUGUCCUUGAUCUUUACCCAGAGUUUGCGGAUGAGUUCUCUCGAAACUUAGAGAUCACCUUCAACUUGAGAGAUGAGGAAGUGGCAGGGGUAGACCCAUCUCUCAUGGCCAGAAGAUCUCAAGGCAAUUUUGAGCGAAGUAAUUCACAGGACACAGAUGAUAUCAGAAAAAUUGCCUUUAGACCUCCACGGCAGCGUCGCCGACAAUUCACUCGGCGAGCAUCUAGUGGCGAGGAGAGUGACUCGGAGGACAAACACUUGGUCUCAAGGGGUUGUAUUCAACAGUUCUCUCCAGACAAGGCGAGGCAAGAUGUAUCGUCUCACAAUCUCAACUUUGAACAUAAACAACGAUCAGGAACUCUUAACUCUAUAACUGCGGCUGGGUCAGCGGACAUAUCCCCAGGUUAUGGGGUCCUUACCCAGCUCAAACGUAGCUUUACUGACCUCCGCCUGCACAGAGUGGAGGGUAAGGUGCAUAGAUCGGAGAGUAGAUCGGGAGCCCUCUCAAGUAUGACCUCGGCGUUGGGUGUUGGAGGACGAGAAUCAAGGUCAGCGUCCAGAUGUACCUCUCCGGGGCCCCAUGGAAAAGAGGAUGUCCCACUCCUCACAAAUGCUGCCCCUAUUGCAGGUAGUGCCAGUCCCGAGAGACGACUCCAUUCCCGUUACGCCAGCCUGACCUUACCCGUCGAGAGGCAUCCUAGUACCGCCCACACUCAGGCCCACGAGGUUACAGAGGUCAACCAGCGCCUAGAUGCUCUCACCAGGGGAUGAGGAUGAUGAUGAUGAUGAUGAUGAUGAUGACUUUAAAGAUGAUGUCCUUCGCCUAUACAUUAGAAUGGACCAAUUUAGCAGACAAAUGCAGCACUUGGA